GACGAACGCUGGCGGCGUGCUUAACACAUGCAAGUCGAGCGGUAAGGCCCUUUCGGGGGUACACGAGCGGCGAACGGGUGAGUAACACGUGGGUGACCUGCCUCUAGCUCUGGGAUAAGCCUGGGAAGCUGGGUCUAAUACCGGAUAUGACCUCGCGGUGCAUGUUGCGGGGUGGAAAGCCUUGUGCGGCUAGGGAUGGGCCCGCGGCCUAUCAGCUUGUUGGUGGGGUGANGGCCUACCAAGGCGACGACGGGUAGCCGGCCUGAGAGGGCGACCGGCCACACUGGGACUGAGACACGGCCCAGACUCCUACGGGAGGCAGCAGUGGGGAAUCUUGCGCAAUGGGCGAAAGCCUGACGCAGCGACGCCGCGUGAGGGAUGACGGCCUCGGUUGUAACGUAC
rnacentral:rRNA from 1 species